CUGCACACAACUGGUGCAUAAUAAUAUUCUGCUGCUGUUAGGACGUUACUCACUUCGUAAAGUUUAAUUAAAAAUGGGCAGCGUGCACAUAGAUCUUGAAUUAUUGCAACAAGUACUGCAUUUAUUGCGACAUAACGUGCACGUUCUGCAACCCACUGUUGCACCAACUAAUGUGCAUCAAAUUAUAAAUAAUUUACAAUUAACUCUUACAAAUAACGGCAACCGCGACCAACUCGCUACCAACAAUUCAAGUGAGAAUAUGGCAGGUUCAGAACGCUGUGUGCCUUGCAACUUAAAUUUUGCAAGGCAAAGAGUCGCACAACAAAAACACUUUGAAAAAGUGCAUACUAAGGUAGUCGUGAAUAUUGACACUAAAGAGUUGUGCAUCAAAUGCCAUAAUUUUUAUGCUUCCAAAAAUUCUUUUAAUCGACAUCGAUGUCAUCCGAAAAGUGAACUGACAAAUACAGACCAAAUAGUGGUCACUGGUUUCCAAAUUGGUUUCCAAACUUCAAAUGAAUAGUUUACAUUCAGCCUCAAAGUGAACAUCGCAAUUUGUUUCAAAUAAGUGGAUAAGAUAAAUACGAUUUUGCAAAUCAUCUUUCCUCAUUCAUACACACAUUUAAGUGAACAUGUUUGGACACCAAAUUUUAAAGCAGCACACUCCGUUCAAGCUUCAAAAUUUCAUACAAACCCACCAGCAUGCAGACCACUAUUUGUUUGAUGCUACUUCUUAUUGGAAGUUCGGCUUCUCAUCAGCCAAUUAAACAGCGCUACACCACCCUUGGAUUAGGUGAAAUUGUGAAGUGCGGGGAUUGUCUGGAUCUUCUUCCCUCAACAAAACAAACGCUGCUGUCGCUCCUCCUUGGACCCGAACAGGCCUCUUUAAUUGAAUGGAUAAUUUGCUCAGCUGGCGCAGGUCAGGAGUAAUUUAUUUGAUUUUAUUGUGUUGAACGAAUACUUACUAAUAACACAAUUUAGCCAAGAGUCAUACAUACAUGCGCUCUCUAGACUUACACUAUCAUUACAAUAAACUAACUUGCAAAUCCAAA